AGAGGGGGCAAGCGUUGUUCGGAAUUACUGGGCGUAAAGGGCGCGUAGGCGGCCUGCUAAGUCGAACGUGAAAUCCCCGGGCUCAACCCGGGAACUGCGUCCGAUACUGGCAGGCUUGAAUCCGGGAGAGGGAUGCGGAAUUCCAGGUGUAGCGGUGAAAUGCGUAGAUAUCUGGAGGAACACCGGUGGCGAAGGCGGCAUCCUGGACCGGCAUUGACGCUGAGGCGCGAAAGCCAGGGGAGCAAACGGG
rnacentral:rRNA from 1 species